AGGACGAACGCUGGCGGCGUGCUUAACACAUGCAAGUCGAGUGGUAAGGCCUUUCGGGGUACACGAGCGGCGAACGGGUGAGUAACACGUGGGUGAUCUGCCCUGCACUCUGGGAUAAGCCUGGGAAACUGGGUCUAAUACCGGAUAUGACCUGCUCUCGCAUGGGGGUGGGUGGAAAGAUUUAUUGGUGCAGGAUGGGCCCGCGGCCUAUCAGCUUGUUGGUGGGGUAAUGGCCUACCAAGGCGACGACGGGUAGCCGACCUGAGAGGGUGACCGGCCACACUGGGACUGAGACACGGCCCAGACUCCUACGGGAGGCAGCAGUGGGAAUAUUGCACAAUGGGCGAAAGCCUGAUGCAGCGACGCCGCGUGAGGAUGAAGGCCUUCGGGUUGUAAACCGUCUUUCAGUCGAGGACGAAGCGCAAGUGACGGUACCUGCAGAAGAAGCACCGGCUAACUACGUGCCAAGCAGCCGC
rnacentral:rRNA from 1 species